ACAUUUUUGAUGUACUAUUUUGUCCAUAAACCCCGUUUACAUCGAGUUGUGUGGAGCUGAUAUGUUGUUUUUUUUCGUUUUAGUUGUGGUAAUUGGCUAAAUUCAAGUAAAGAGCCUAGCCCAUUAUGGAUAGCUGUUAGCCACCCAGUGCUUCUUCCUCAUGAUGGUUUCAACCUUUUAUCUUAAUUUUUUAUUCACUUUGAUAAGUAUGUUUAUGUUAUUAUAGAAAAAAAUAUUAUUUUCAUAUCAUGAAGGAUGCAAGCUGUGCGUGUCAAAUACAGAGAUCGACAGAAAUACAUCUGGUUUGAAGGCCAACUGACUUACAGUUUGUUUUUGGAAUGUGUGAGUGCUAACAAAACAAGUUUCCAGCAUUUUCAUAUAUUGUGUUCCUCAAAAACGUUUUGGGUAUGGUGCCAUAUGGUGCUUUAUACCAACUUUUCAGAUUUAUUAUUGUUUCAAUUAAUUUUACUUUUUAUGUCUUAUUUUAAUUUUUAUCUACCGUACAUAUGUUCAAAUAUAUAAUAAAUACAUAAUUUGCUAUGUUCACAGCUGCAAAAACGUUCAGCAUCCCAACCUUGGACUUAAAAGUCUUUGAUGACUCAAAGACUGAAGUGGAUGAGGAUGUUUUUGAGCUCCUUUUGAAAGGUCCGAACCUUGGUGUGCUAGAGAUUUGUGAAGCACAAAAUCUCAAUCCAGAAGUUUGGUGCCGUGACCCGGACCCCUCGACUGGACAUCUGAGGACGUCGACGAACAGCGUUUGGCCAACCUGGACUAAACUCCAGCCUCAAACCUCGAUUUAAGAGAAGAGGGCUGUUGGUCGGCUCCACGGCUCCAGCGCUGGGAUCAGCGAACUCAAAACCACUGUUAUCAGGUGGGAUACUCACUCAGGCUAACAAAUUAAUUUUACAAAUUCUAAAUUAUUAAAUUUAAAAUAGUGAAGGAUCCGAUAAACCUUUCACCCUGGGGAAUAGAGAUUGGCGGUGUUAAGAGGAAACGUUGGGUUAAAAUCCCACUGGAAAAUUAAUAAGAAAAAAUAAAAUAAAUAAAUAAAAAAUAUAAAAUAAAAUAAUAAUUAAUAAAAAAAAAGAAAAGAAAAACAACGGUUGGGAAAGAGUCCCUCCGGAAUUGUUUGAGUUUCAGUCUCAAACGGAAGAGAGAAAAAAGGGAACCACGGGUUUCUAGGCUGAGGGUCCUAGUGAAAGACCUUAUCGGUGAAUAAGGCGGGUAUUUUCUUAAGUUUUGGUUUUCUAAAUUAAGGGAACUAAACCUUUGGAGAAUCCUAAAGACCUUUAUCGGAAAUAAAGGCCCCUCUUAAAGGAGUAAGAGGCAGAGCGACCACAAAGCUGAUUUGUUGGAUUCUGCGAAGACGUUUGCAGUCUAAAGAGGAAAUCCCACCCAAUUCAAGAAGAAUGGGUCUACGUGGUUCCAGAACGCAAUCUCCUCCUCAGGGUGAAUUGUUUGACUAUUUGAUAAUGAAAUAUUGAAAAGAAAAAAAAGGAGUGUGCUUGGUGUGAAUGAAUGUGGAAUGACUUUAAAUGGUGGAAUUUUUCCCCGCAAAGCGAAUUAGAAGCAGAGGACAACCGAAUAAAGAAUAAAAAUGCUGAAUAUAAUUCUUUAAUAAAUUACAGGCCUUAAUCUCUUUAAACAUUUUUUUAUUGUGUAUUUGAACAAACAAAAUGAUUUUAUUUCUUAAAAGGAUCAAUCAAUCAAUUUUAUUUAUAGGGGACCCUUUCUUACUACAAGCAGCUCAAAGAGCUGUACAAACAAUUUCCCUCAGGUUUCUCUGAUGAUCAUGCAAAAGGGUUAGAAGAUUCAUAAAUACAUAUGUAUAGGAAAAAACAAGGCUAACUACAAAACAAGCCUAAUCAAUUUCCACUUGUUUCUUCUCUUUUCCUCUGUCUGAGCCUCGCUGCAGUGCAUCUGACCUCUGACCUCAACUCCUCAAACCUGUCCUCCCAUGGACCGGAUGAUGUCCCUCCUACAAAACCAGCUGAUGAAAGUGACCGAGAGGAUCCAGA